rnacentral:rRNA from 1 species
AUACGUAGGGGGCGAGCGUUGUCCGGAAUGCUUGGGCGUAAAGGGCGCGUAGGCGGCCUGUUAAGUCUGGAGUGAAAGUCCUGUUUUCAAGAUGGGAAUUGCUUUGGAUACUGAAGGGCUUGAGUGCAGGAGAGGGUAUCGGAAUUCCCGGUGUAGCGGUGAAAUGCGUAGAGAUCGGGAGGAACACCAGUGGCGAAGGCGGGUAACUGGACUGCAACUGACGCUGAGGCGCGAAAGUGUGGGGAGCAAACAGGAUUAGAUACCCUGGUAGUCCACACUGUAAACGAUGAAUGCUAGGUGUAAGAGGUAUCGACCCCUUUUGUGCCGGAGUUAACACAAUAAGCAUUCCGCCUGGGGAGUACGGCCGCAAGGUUGAAACUCAAAUGAAUUGACGGGG